GGGUCGAUGGCGUAGCUGGUUAUCGCAUCUGUCUAACAUCAGAGAAAUAUUCACACAUGUGCACAGAAGGUCCUCAGCUCGAACCUGGGUCGACUCA